rnacentral:lncRNA from 1 species
GUUCUAUGGCACAAUGGGCCCCCUACCGAGAGGCUUUUGAGGGCUGUGCGGGUUUCCAGGAAAGGUUCUGGGGGAGUUAAGUUGGGAGGUUUUUGAAGCCAACUUUGUCACAGGUGGAAACAUCCCUCCGGCCACUUAGCGGCACCAGCUGGUGUCCUAGGCUUUCCAUGCAGGAUCUCGUAAUCCCCACAGCUUUGAGGCAGACACCCCCUCUCCAUGUUUGACAUGGAGAAACUAAGACUCAGAGGCAAAGGAGCUUGCACUGUACCCCCUGCUGUGGGAACACCUUCUGGCAACGGGCUCUCCCGCUCGGUUCUUCCCAUCAAGAAGCCCUGACCACAUUCGAGGCUCAGUACCCUGAUUUCUUUUGAGUUUUCUUCUCAUGACAUAAGCUGCUCUUAUUGGGGCUGCUUUAGGUCUUCUGUAGCCUGAGUAGGUGGGUCUCUUGCUUGCUCCCGUCUGGCCACUUGACUGUGGUUGCCUUACUUGCCAGCUUUGGUUAUUCUGAGCCCAGCAUGUGGAUGAGCUGUUUGGGGAAAGGUUGGCCACGAUGCCCCUUCCAAUUCUUGACGUCAGGCCUUUGAUAGCAGCAGAGUCCUGGUGAUUCCAGGACACAUGUGGAGCCUGCCCCCAGCCUUGGGAUCUCCGAACUUGACUUGGACAGAGGAGGCUGCAGUUUGCUGUGUCAGAGCCUUAGAUAAAAGGUGCAGCCCUGGCCAGGCUCGGGGCUCGCACCUGUAAUCCCAGUACUUCCGGAGACCAAGGCAGGUGAUCACGAGGUCAGGAGUUCAAGACCAGCCUGGCCAACAGAGUGAAAC